rnacentral:rRNA from 1 species
GACGUAGGGCGCGAGCGUUGUCCGGAUUUAUUGGGCGUAAAGAGCUCGUAGGCGGCUUGUCGCGUCGACUGUGAAAUCCCCGCGGCUCAACCGCGGGUCUGCAGUCGAUACGGGCAGGCUAGAGUUCGGUAGGGGAGACUGGAAUUCCUGGUGUAGCGGUGAAAUGCGCAGAUAUCAGGAGGAACACCGAUGGCGAAGGCAGGUCUCUGGGCCGAUACUGACGCUGAGGAGCGAAAGCGUGGGGGCGAACAGG